AUUGAACGCUGGCGGCAGGCCUAACACAUGCAAGUCGAGCGGAUGAAGGGAGCUUGCUCCUGGAUUCAGCGGCGGACGGGUGAGUAAUGCCUAGGAAUCUGCCUGGUAGUGGGGGAUAACGUCCGGAAACGGGCGCUAAUACCGCAUACGUCCUGAGGGAGCAAGUGGGGGAUCUUCGGACCUCACGCUAUCAGAUGAGCCUAGGUCGGAUUAGCCAGUUGGUGGGGUAAAGGCCUACCAAGGCGACGAUCCGUAACUGGUCUGAGAGGAUGAUCAGUCACACUGGAACUGAGACACGGUCCAGACUCCUACGGGAGGCAGCAGUGGGGAAUAUUGGACAAUGGGCGAAAGCCUGAUCCAGCCAUGCCGCGUGUGUGAAGAAGGUCUUCGGAUUGUAAAGCACUUUAAGUUGGGAGGAAGGGCAGUAAGUUAAUACCUUGCUGUUUUGACGUUACCAACAGAAUAAGCACCGGCUAACUUCGUG
rnacentral:rRNA from 1 species